rnacentral:rRNA from 1 species
GAUGAACGCUGGCGGCGUGCCUAAUACAUGCAAGUCGAACGGGGAGUAGCAAUACUCUUAGUGGCGAACGGGUGAGUAACGCGUUGGUACCUGCCCCGAAGCGGGGGAUAACGGACCGAAAGGUCCGCUAAUACCCCAUGUGCUCGGUAACGAGUAAAGGUGAAAACCACUUUGGGAGGGGCCUGCGUCCCAUCAGCUAGUUGGUAAGGUAACGGCUUACCAGGGCGAUGACGGGUAGGGGACCUGAGAGGGUGGCCCCCCACAAUGGAACUGAAACACGGUCCAUACACCUACGGGUGGCAGCAGUAGGGAAUAUUGGUAAUGGGCGCAAGCCUGAACCAGCAACGCCGCGUGUGCGAUGACGGCCUUCGGGUUGUAAAGCACUUUUGACUGGGACGAGGAAGGACGGUACCGGUCGAAUCAGCCUCGGCUAACUACGUG